rnacentral:rRNA from 1 species
AUUGAACGCUGGCGGCAGGCCUAACACAUGCAAGUCGAACGAGUGGCGGACGGGUGAGUAAUGUAUGGGAAACUGCCUGAUGGCGGGGGAUAACUACUGGAAACGUUAGAUAAUACCGCAUACCAUCGGAUGUGCCCAUAUGGGAUUAGCUAGUAGGUGGGGUAAAGGCUUACCUAGGCGAAGAUCCCUAGCUGGUCUGAGAGGAUGACCAGCCACACUGGAACUGAGACACGGCCCAGACUCCGACGGGAGGCAGAAGUGGUGAAUAUGGCACAAUGGGCGCAAUCCUGAGGCAGCCAUGCCGCGUGUAUGAAGAAGGCCUUCGGGUUGUAAAGUACUUUCAGCGGGGAGGCGUUACCGGCAGAAGAAGCACCGGCUAACUCCGUGCCAGCAGCCGCGGUAAUUC